rnacentral:lncRNA from 1 species
AUAUUGUGGUCACGUUUGUCUAUGUUUAUGAUUCUUAAAUAAUUGCAUGUUGUUUUCUUUACCCUCCAUGGCUGACUUCUUCCAGUCCUCUGUUAAUAUGCACAAGUUUAUUCCAUGAAGGUGCCUCUUGUCACCAACUCUAUCAGAAGCAAGUUCUUUCUCUAACUUCUUGCUCAGUGUUUCUCCACAGCACAAAUCUCCAAAGUCUGUUUUACAGUGGUUUUAUUCAUGUGUGUAAAUGAUAGCUCAGGAAUAGAAUAUAUUUCUCUAGAGCAAACUUAGAUUAAAGGAAGUAUAUUUGUAUCUCAACAAGAAAUGGAAGGAUUGGGAAAUUAAUUGAACGCAAAUUACCAUUUCGAUACAUCAAAUUCCUCUGCACAGGGCUUGUCAGACUUUUCAUCAUUAGCCUUGUGUAAUUCCUUAGACAAACUGAAAUUACCUUCACUCUUUAGUGACUGCCAUAGCAGUGGAAUGAUCCCUAAAAGCCCAUGUGUUUACUUGACAUUGCUGGGCAAUGGUAGAACUUUGAGAGUUCUCCUGCUCACCAGGGAUACAGCCCUAGGGAGUAUCUUAGUUUGAGUUUUAUUGCUGUGAUGAGACACCUGACUAUGGCAACUCUUAUGAAGGAAGCUAUUUCACUGGGGCUGGCUUACAGUUCAGAGCCAUAGUCAGUUAUCAAUAUAGUGGAAAGUAUUUCAAUAUGCAGGUAGAAAUGGAAAUAGUUAAUUGUUCUCCAUCUGGAUUGGUAGGCAGCAGGAAGAGUGAACCACUAGGCCUGACUUGACCUUCUGAAACUUAAAGCACACCCACAGUGACACACUUUCCCCCAACAAGGCUAUACCUACUCUAACAAGACCACAUCUCCUAAUAUUACCACCCCCUAUGAGCUUAUGAGAACCAUUUUUAUUUAACUCUCAACAAGGGGAUAUAUAUUAGGAUUCCAGUCCCAUAUUCUUCCCUUUCAAUUUUUGGUCAUGAGGUUAUAAGAGGCUUCCUUCUCCCACUGCCCUCUUGCCAAGAUCAAGGCUCACUCAAAGCCCAAAAUAACAAAGUCUAAGAUCAAAAACCUUUGAAAACAUCAUCCAAAAUAGACCUCUGCCCUUCAAAAAAUGACUUUUCUCUAGUCUUUAAUGAUGGAAAACUAACACAGUUGUCACUACGUUACACUUACCUGCCUAUUUAGCCAGGGCUUACACCUUAGGACAUACUUCCAAUAUGGAUUACACUACAUUUUCCAGAUAGCCACAUUUUCUGAUGACUCCUCAUAAUCAGUUUAACUUGUGUACCAAGCUUCCUGUGCUCAAGUGUGAGAAACACUUAGUUAUUGUCCUUGAAAGUCAUUAAUAUUGCACAUGCUUUGUGUCUUUAUUGCAGUAAAAGCAGUGUGGUUUCCAACUUUCUUAAAUAUUGUUGUCUCCCCCACAUUUGCAUCAUGUGUUAAAAUUUAAUUUUAGGAAAGAAUCUAGUGGAUCCAUAGAGCUGAUCAUAAGACUGUCUUUGUUUUUGUUUUUGUUUUUUUAAAGCAAUAUGUCAAGUAGUCAAUGGAAAUAAGUAAGAUACUUGAGGGAAUAUGACAUGUUAAUUCCAGGAAUAUGUAUGUCUACCAUGUCAACAUUCCAGCAGGAUACUUUUUGGAGUGUAAUAGCUUAGAGCUAAAUUGUUUCAUAUAAACAAGGCUAAAAUGUCUUUUGUUGGCAAGGGACUAGAAAAAGAUUUUAAACUAACUGAACGUGCAAUGAAACUUUUAGCAACCCUUUUGCAUCCUAGUAUAGACAUUAAAGCAAAUAUGAUUAGAAUGGAACAUUUGGUUCUAUUUCUAUUGUAAUAAAUUCUAAGAAAAUCAAUAAUAGCAUUAGGACAAAAUUGGUAACUUACCCAAAAAAUAUUUCAGCACUUAUGUUAAAGCUUUCUUAUCUCAAAUAGCUGAUGGUUAUAAAAUGAACAUGUUUAAAUCCAUGCCUAAAGAUGAUUAAAAUAUCAUACAGACCCAACGUACUCCAGCUGUAGCUGUUCAUUAAAUUGACCAUUAAUAACUUGUGAUAAAAAGAAUAUUACUGCAUUCAUAAAUUUUGUAUGCAGAUUUUAUUAAGCUGGCAUGUUAUAUGAAUUGAUUGUCUGACAUCUUCUGGCUAUGGCCGAAGAUAAUAGCAUUUCAUGUGCAUUGUCUAUAAUCCAAGAAUUCUGAGAGACUGUUUCUAGAUAGUUAUUAUGUUUUUGUUCUGUUGGGCUUUUCUUUCAUCUAGUGAACAAUU